rnacentral:rRNA from 1 species
AGAGUUUGAUCCUGGCUCAGGAUGAACGCCGGCGGCGUGCCUAACACAUGCAAGUCGAGCGGGAAGAAGAAGAUGAAGUUUUCGGAUGAAUUCUUUUUCGGACAGCGGCGGACGGGUGAGUAACGCGUAGGCAACCUGCCCUUUGCACAGGGAUAGCCUCGGGAAACCGGGAUUAAAACCUGAUAACACGAAAGAAGCACAUGCUUCAUUCGUCAAAGAUUUAUCGGCAAAGGAUGGGCCUGCGUCUGAUUAGCUUGUUGGUAGGGUAACGGCCUACCAAGGCGACGAUCAGUAGCCGACCUGAGAGGGUAAACGGCCACAUUGGAACUGAGACACGGUCCAAACUCCUACGGGAGGCAGCAGUGGGGAAUAUUGCACAAUGGGCGAAAGCCUGAUGCAGCAACGCCGCGUGAGCGAAGAAGGCCUUUGGGUCGUAAAGCUCUGUCGACAGGGAAGAAACAAAUGACGGUACCUGUUGAGAAAGCCCCGGCUAACUACGUGCCAGCAGCCGCGGUAAUACGUAGGGGGCGAGCGUUAUCCGGAAUUAUUGGGCGUAAAGAGUGCGUAGGUGGCUUAAUAAGCGGGAGGUGAAAGGCUGAGGCUCAACCACAGUGAGCCUUCCGAACUGUUAAGCUUGAGUGCGGGAGAGGAAAGCGGAAUUCCUGGUGUAGCGGUGAAAUGCGCAGAUAUCAGGAGGAACACCGGUGGCGAAGGCGGCUUUCUGGACCGUAACUGACACUGAGGCACGAAAGCGUGGGGAGCAAACAGGAUUAGAUACCCUGGUAGUCCACGCCGUAAACGAUGAGCACCAGGUGUCGGGAUCGCAAGAUUUCGGUGCCGAAGUUAACGCAAUAAGUGCUCCGCCUGGGGAGUACGCACGCAAGUGUGAAACUCAAAGGAAUUGACGGGGACCCGCACAAGCAGCGGAGCAUGUGGUUUAAUUCGAAGCAACGCGAAGAACCUUACCAGGGCUUGACAUCCC